GGGUCCCAAGUAUCCCUUUGAAAAUCAUAGAAGAUACAGAAAAUCUGGCAGGACAAACACAAUUUGAAAGUUGUUAAAUAAAUCCUUAUAGUAGUUUUUGUGCCUACUGACGAUUUGUUACACCAAAAAUGUAUUUUUUUUCUUUGUAAAGUGUGUUAUGUAUGGGUCAUGAAUUCCUACACCAGAUUCCUUAGAUUCUUUAUGAAACUAUUGCAAAAGAGUUUUUUUUUUUUGGUUUCCAGAGAACAAAACCAGUACAGUAAUUUAAAUGUAGUGAUGUCACUUGUCUAAAAACAUAUCAAAUGAUUGGUAAAAUCGUUAAUUUUUUUUAGAGUUAAUGACGCAUAC
rnacentral:lncRNA from 1 species